GACGAACGCUGGCGGCGUGCUUAACACAUGCGAGUCGAACGGAAAGGCCCUGCUUUUGUGGGGUGCUCGAGUGGCGAACGGGUGAGUAACACGUGAGUAACCUGCCCUUGACUUUGGGAUAACUUCAGGAAACUGGGGCUAAUACCGGAUAGGAGCUCCUGCUGCAUGGUGGGGGUUGGAAAGUUUCGGCGGUUGGGGAUGGACUCGCGGCUGAUCAGCUUGUUGGUGGGGUAGUGGCUUACCAAGGCUUUGACGGGUAGCCGGCCUGAGAGGGUGACCGGCCACAUUGGGACUGAGAUACGGCCCAGACUCCUACGGGAGGCAGCAGUGGGGAAUAUUGCACAAUGGGCGGAAGCCUGAUGCAGCAACGCCGCGUGCGGGAUGGCGGCCUUCGGGUUGUAAACCGCUUUCGCCUGUGACGAAGCGUGAGUGACGGUAAUGGGUAAAGAAGCACCGGCUAACUACGUG
rnacentral:rRNA from 1 species